rnacentral:tRNA from 1 species
GAGCUACCGUGGCCGAGAGGUUACGGGUUUCGCCUUGUAAGCGGAAGGUGAUGGGUUCGAUUCCUAUCUGGCUCG